GUCUUUUAUGAAGUCAGUGUUUGUCUGCUGUGGUGUUCAAACCAAAGUAUGAGUGGCUUUGCAAGAAGCCUCUAAAUAAUCAAAGGAAAAAUACUUGUAAACACAUCUGUUGUCUGCCAUGCAACUUCUCCCUAAUCUGCCACAGAUUUUUCCCCACAGGAGGCUGCUAAAUUAGAGCUUAAUACUGAGGCAGCAUCUCACAUACUCCCUCUGGUUCGUCCUCUCAAUAUAAAGCAGCCUUCACUUCCAGCUAGCAUGAGUGUUAUCCCUCUGGGAGACACCAGUUUCCAUCCCACUUUUUACAGGAUCAUCCUCUCUGAGAAACACAGCCAUUCGCUACCAGCUGAGCAUGCCUUACCCCUCCACUCAGGCAGGCUUUCAAGCCUCGUUGGAUCCAUAUGCUCCAAAUGAUCCCACUGAUUUUUUUCCCGGUUUCUGCAUGGAUAUGACUUGUGGUGUUUCAUCCAUGCAAAGGCUGCCAUAUGCUCUUGGGUACCAGCAGGAGCAAGACAGGACAGAUUAUGAUCUUCAGAGGACUGCAGCUGCCACCAAAAUUGUGCAGGACCUAUAUAUAAGCUUUGAGUUUUCCUGUUAAGACUUGCUGUUCUUCUCUGACAUGCCUCUUUGUACUCAGAUUUGUCAUGCAUCUUACAGGUUGGAAAUCAUAUCCUCAGCCAUCAAAUCCUCCAUUUCUGUCUUGAAUAAUAUGCUUUGUAGCAAAAAAAUUCUUGGAGAUGUUUCCGUGAAUGUACAAGUAAAUUGGUUUUAAGGCUGUAAGGAUAUGGAAUACAUAUUCAUUCACUGAGAUGCUUCAAAAAGAGUACCAGGGUUAGCAAAGGAAAGUAAAAUAGAUCUGAUUUAUGCAGUAAUACGGUACAAAGACUGUGCAGGAAUAAUGCAAACAAUAAUUUUAUAUGUGUUUAUGUGCAUUAAGUCUCUAAGUGAUUAUACUGUCUCUAACAUCUAGGUUAUCACAGGGUUCUGUAAUGCCUUAAAGGACUGUAGCUGCGAAUAGACAAGCAUAAGUUCCAUUUUGGUAACAGCAAAUGCAUAUUUUUGCUCGCACAACCUUCCUCCUCUGUCAGCUGUACCUGCACUUUCGUCUGCUGUUUGGCUGAUAAAAUGCCACUGACGUCAGCUAUAGCAAAGCUUUGUGCUUGAUAUCUGUGCUAGCAAGAAGAGGAUCAGGGCCACACUAAACAAAAAACGUCAGUCAUCGAGGGCUAAGUGCUCAGAGGGAAGGUAAGUGAAGGGGGCUUUGUGUAACCCUUCUGCCACCCUCAAAGAUGACAUAAGGUUGGACUUAACUGAAGAAGUCUGCAAGCUGCCUUUUUACUUUGUGGGCUCUUGGAGGAAAUGCUUUGAAAAGGCUAAAGGCACUGACAUUUUGGUGCUACGAGAGGUAGGAUGUUAGCUAGUUAGACAGGAAACGCUCCCCUAAGUGUAUGAUCCAUUAAGUUGUUUUGCAACACUGGGAAAUGAAGCAUGGAGUAUUUUACUGAAGUCGAUAUCCCAUGGGGAUGAAAGAAAGAUCAGAAUCUUUCGCUGCAAUAGGCUGAGCUCUGCCAGCAUGUAGAUAUAAAUCCAGAAUAUCUCCAGUUGAGUUGAAAGGAUUGCCCUGAGUUUGACGACAGGGUCUGUCCCACCAAUAUGGAUUUCUCCAACCCUGUGUGUCCAAUGCUCUGAACCGCUGGCAGCUCAGAUGCCCGUGUGAAGAAUUUCAGCCAGAUACAGUAGCAGUGUAGCAAAUUGGGGACUCCUAAAAGGCUGCCUGAUCUCAUGUGGGGGAUACCUUUCUCAGUGCUGGGGUUUACUAUAGCUUUCUGAAUGAGUUUUGGUUUAUUCUGAUUGCACAGACACUUACACUAUGAAAAACAUGGAAUUUCUAUUAAGUGGAGAAAGGGCACUGCAUUGGUAUUCUGCAAAUGGCAUUUCUAACAGUCAGUCAUUCCCACUUUGCUUGCAGCUCCAGCACAGAAGCAUGGUGUUUCAGUCUGUCCUGGCAGAACAGAUCAAUUACCAGUUUUCAAUGGAGUGCAUCCUGAUGUCACUGCCUUUCUCCUGCAGCUGUUGACUGCCUGUGCUGUGGCUGCUCUUCUGAGCAGAGCAGCUCUCUCUGCCAGGUGUUCAACUGUUCAGCUGGUGCUUCAGCAUAUUUUCUUCUGCCUUCCCUACAGACUUGAAGGGCAGGAAAAGGGCCUGCCAGGCUUGGCCUGAAAUGGAUUUGGACUGAUGUUUUCAGGGCUACUCAGCUGCAGGUUUUUGUUUCAAAUUCAACUCAGAGGAUGGAACAACAACAGAAAAAAAGAAGAAAAAAACCCCAACCUCUCAGGAGGCUUUCUUUACAUAGGAUACCUAAAACUUGAAUGAAAGCAGAAGCUGAGCAUUAAAAAACGCCAGAUUCAAAAAGCUGCCGGCACUGAACAUGGUUGAUCAAUGAUAUUUUGUUGGUAAAAUGAGAGGUUCUACUGAAGCUGUUUCCCCUUGAUCUGCUGCCAGGGAUGGCACCAGAGGUCUCUGAGGAGCUCAGAAUGGAAGGCAAAGGAGUCUGGAGGAGGAAUUCCUUUGUGACAGAGACUGCAGAAUGAGAAAAAUCUCUCAACCGUGUGCUGCAGCUAUAUUUUUACAGCCAAAAGCUCAGUAAACAUAAAAAGCAGGCAGUGAGCUGUUGAAAAGAAAGAAAACUCAAACCUCAAAUGCACUUUUCAUAGUAUUCUGGCUUCAGGUUUCAUGAAAUGACAAGGGAAUUGAAACACAUCUGAAGACUGUUAGGUACCUCUCUGCCUUUCCCUCCACACUGGACAUACUGGGAUUUGAAAAACAAGAUGAAUUUUUAAGCAGCAGUUGCCCAGAGUAUGGACUCUCUCUUCACUGUAUAUUCAAGAAAAGAUAUGCUGGAUCAGGAGUUUUGCCCUAGUAAGGAGUCUUACCCAAGCAUAGCAAGGAGCUUGUUAAGAUUAGUGUGCCUCAGCUGGGCACUGACCCAGGUGAUCACCACGUUACAGGCACGAGCAUGGUUGCAAAAGCAAACAGCUCAGCUAGGGUACCAGAAGCAUCAUGGAGAUGGCACUGGAGGUCUCUCACUGUUUGUGAAAGCUGAGUUUGGAAAACCUUUUUUAAGAUUGGUCACUUAGAAGAGAUGUAUUUUGUUGUUUGAGCAGUAACUGCUGGAAGACAACACUGUGUCUCAGCACUGUGAUUGCACUGUUCCCUUUGUUUAAAGGAUGGGUGGGUGGUUAUCCUUUGCUUAUUCCCUACACUAAACAAAAAGGCAAUCUGUCCAGAACCUUAAAUUAGGGUUUCUUUAGCCCAUAACCACUAAUACUAUCUCUGCAAAUAUUCAGUAUUUUUGUAUUUCAGGAGCUGAGAAAUUCUGUUGUUUGUUACAGGGAAAACAAAGCAUGCAAAAGGCUUUCUGUAAUGCUCUUUCUAUUUAGUUUCACAUAGGGACAUAGGGUGCCACUAGCUUUGGUCUGCUAGGCUCUGUGCAGGGAGGCAUUGCUUGAGGGAGAAGACGGUUUUGCAAGCAGUGGGAGUGUGUGUUCUCUGCCUUGGGCCUUCAUUAGACUCAAUUCUUCAGGCAGAAAUGGCUCCCUGGAAAUCAGGCACUGGUGCUGGGCUGAGACUGCUGAGCUAGGAAUUGCCUUCUGCUGCUCCCAGCUGCCAGUGAUGUGUAAAUAAAAGCAAAUUAUUCUUGGGCUCUCUGUCACUUCCCAUGCUGCAAAAUCAACCCACAGGACAUCAAAAUCUGAAGCACUAAAUGAUCAGUAUUGGUGCCAGAAGGAGCACUGACAUGUAAGAAAGGGGAAAACAAAGGUGUGAUCCCCAGGUGUAGCCUACAGAUGACUGAACCCCACAGCUGGCAGCCAACAAACAACCCCAGGAACUCCCACAAGCUUAGCCAAAGUGUCUGAAGACCACACUUACUCAGCCUACAAACUUCAUGGCUUCAUCCUAGCACAGUCAAUGCUUCCUGGGUAUCAAGCUUCAAUUCAAGGAUAUUUCACCAAAGGAGCUGAGCUUGGCUGGAAAAAGAAUUGCACGUCCUGCAGCUUCGUGGGUCAGAUCACUGAUUGGUACGAAUGGCACUUCUCCGUCAGCUCCAGAAGCAUCUGUCACCCCAGGAUGUGCUCCCCUGCUGGGCUGCAGCUUACGAGGCCAGCAACAGAGCAAGUGGGAAGACCUUUUAACGUUCUGUAUAAAGCUGGGAGCAAACUGAGCACACGAGAACCAAAAAUCUCCAAUGAGGCAAAGAUUUUUGGACGUGUUUAAGUGGCAUUGUAUGCGCUGUGGUUCAUUUUUGCUCUUAAUACUUUGAUACAGCUGUGAUGUUUUUUUCAACUCCCAAAGACAAAUUACAGCAUAUAAAAGACCAUGAGGUUACACUUUGGUUCUGAGAUAGUCACAUUAAUAUAUUAUGAAGGCACUGUAACAAGUAUUAGUAUUUUCCUGAAUCACCAUCUAGGGUCAGUAGAAAAUAUGUAUAAUUUGCAAAUUCGUUUUAGAUACAAUGUAAGAAAGUAAGUAGGCUGGGGUAAUUACAGGGCUUGCUGAUGCUGGAGACAAGCUGCAGAGAGACAUUGCUCAGCUUGCCUAUCAGAGCAGGCCCUGAGGAAGCAGGUGAGGAGGAAGGUUAUAAACAGUGGGAGCAGGGCAUUAGGAAGCCCUGAGAGUUCUCUGAUGCAGAGGAGCAUUAUGUGAGGUCCUGUUCCAGAGCUGUUUUCCCCAGGGGUAAGUGCUGGUGUAACUCUCUACAAGUGGCAAUGAGCAAAGGUGCUUUGCAGGCAUGGGGAGGUGGGGGGAAAGCUGGUGGUAAAGUUUUCCAUGAGUGUAAGCUCUCAUGCUUUUAAGGGUGGCUACUCUGGGCCAUGUGAGGUUCCUGUUUCUGCAUCUUGCAGUGCUAUGGCUGAGCUUGGGGUGAGAUCUGAGCAUUUUGUGGUGCAGCAGCCAUGUAGGAGUCCAGGGAAUGGUAGGUGUGCAUUUGCAUUCUAGUACCAGCACUGUUUGGGCAUGGGUCCACUCUGCUGACUAGAACAUACUAACUUAAGCUAAGGUCAGAUAUGUCCUUUGCUGGAAAGGUUUCUUAAACUGUGAAUGUCCCGGUGGCUCUGUGAAGUGUUUGACAAAAGAAGAGUAUUCUUUUAAAAGUGUGAUAAACUCAGGAGGUACCUUCUAUGAUUUAUGCUGGCACUAUCUGGUUGGGAAUCAUUUCUUGUGGCAGAUCAGAGGAGUAUGUUUGUGCAGCAUUGGUAUGUAAAUGUCGUGAUGGGAUCUUACUUUGAAAUAUAUGUCAUGUCAAGCAAGCAGGGGAAAUAUGCAAGGAGUGUAAUUUAUCAUCUAGCUUCCAAAUUAUUCCUUAUGUUUCAAGUCCAGUCAUGGUGCUUGUAUGUGCUAAAUGUCCCUUAAAAUACUGUGCUUUUGUGCUUCCUGUGAACUUCCCUUGGAACUGAUAGUGCUUUGGCAAACAUAAGCCCCAAGGUUAAACUCUGUAUAAUGCCUCUUUGGCCUGUGCUUCUAGACUUAAGAGGAUGGUGCAGGAGAAGCUGUUUGUGAGCAUAUGGUAUUGUUUCUGCAACCCUCUGUUCCAAUGUGCUCAACACGCCUUUGGUUUUCAGCUGUUGAUAUUCUUACAUCUUUAUUUACUUUUUUUGAUGCUGUCUCUUUUUCUCACUUAAAGCUAUGCUCAAUA